rnacentral:rRNA from 1 species
AGAGUUUGAUCCUGGCUCAGGACGAACGCUGGCGGCGUGCUUAACACAUGCAAGUCGAACGGGGUCCAAUCAUUCGCAAGAAUGAGAACGAUCUAGUGGCGAACGGGUGCGUAACACAUGAGGAACCUACCCCAGACUCUGGAAUAACAAGUGGAAACACUUGCUAAUACCGGAUGCCGUUGAACCACCGCAUGGCGGUUCAACGAAAGAUUUAUCGGUUUGGGAGGGCCUCGUGGCCUAUCAGCUAGUUGGCGAGGUAACGGCUCACCAAGGCUUCGACGGGUAGCUGGUCUGAGAGGAUGAUCAGCCACACUGGGACUGAGACACGGCCCAGACUCCUACGGGAGGCAGCAGUGGGGAAUCUUGCACAAUGGGCGAAAGCCUGAUGCAGCAACGCCGCGUGCGGGAAGAAGGCCCUAGGGUUGUAAACCGCUUUCAGCAGGGAAGAAAAUGACGGUACCUGUAGAAGAAGGUGCGGCCAACUNCGUGCCAGCAGCCGCGGUGACACGUAGGCACCAAGCGUUGUCCGGAUUUAUUGGGCGUAAAGAGCUUGUAGGCGGUUCGGUUAGUCGGGUGUGAAACCUCUGGGCUCAACUCAGAGACGCCACCCGAUACUGCUGUGACUAGAGUGCGGUAGGGGAGCGGGGAAU